rnacentral:rRNA from 1 species
GAUGAACGCUGGCGGCGUGCCUAAUACAUGCAAGUCGAGCGAACGGACGAGAAGCUUGCUUCUCUGAUGUUAGCGGCGGACGGGUGAGUAACACGUGGAUAACCUACCUAUAAGACUGGGAUAACUUCGGGAAACCGUAGCUAAUACCGGAUAAUAUUUUGAACCGCAUGGUUCAAAAGUGAAAGACGGUCUUGCUGUCACUUAUAGAUGGAUCCGCGCUGCAUUAGCUAGUUGGUAAGGUAACGGCUUACCAAGGCAACGCUGCAGAGCCGACCUGAGAGGGUGAUCGGCCACACUGGAACUGAGACACGGUCCAGACUCCUACGGGAGGCACCAGUAGGGAAUCUUCCGCAAUGGGCGAAAGCCUGACGGAGCAACGCCGCGUGAGUGAUGAAGGUCUUCGGAUCGUAAAACUCUGUUAUUAGGGAAGAACAUAUGUGUAAGUAACUGUGCACAUCUUGACGGUACCUAAUCAGAAAGCCACGGCUAACUACGUG